GCGACUGACUAAACAUGUCACCUCGGUGUCACCAACGGAGCUGUCCAGGCGGAGGCAGUUCCUGCGGGAGCAUGCGGCCCCCUUCUCCGCCUUCCUCACAGACAGCUUCGGCCGGCAGCACAGCUACCUGCGGAUCUCCCUCACAGAGAAGUGCAACCUCAGAUGUGAGUCACCUUCCUGGGCCCUCUCUGGGCUGGUGUCCAUCUGCUGAAGCAGCCCUUGAAAUUUCC
rnacentral:lncRNA from 1 species